CACAGUCCCAUUCUUCCAUAAUUCUCAUUGCCAAAUAGCUUUUCAAUGAUAUCUGUACAGUUCUGUGAACUUUUCUGGAGAAAGAUGCUUUCAAAAAGAAGAACUACCAGAGCUCAGAGGCUAGGGCCCAUUGGCGACCAGCAAAACCAGCGAGACCAACAGGCCUGAAGGCUCAGAGGAGAUCGACACUAGAGACCUGAGUGAAAUCCAGGGGGGGUGGCUAUUGUGUCCAGAUUAUUAAAGCCCCUCAUGAGACUGAGUAUGUUAACAGGUGUGCAUGAUAUUUAGGACAUGGUAAUUUAUAUUGAUGAACCUGUAGGUUGUUUUUUAGGUAUUUGGAACAGCAUGGAAAAUAAGAAGCCAUAUAACAUCACAAAUACAAUCUAAGUCCUUUGCUCCUCUUUCUGACCCCAUUCCUUCCUCUCCCUUCCUCUUUAGAGGUACCCACUAUCUCGAUGUAGUGUUUAUUCUUCCUAGGAAUGUAUUUAUGUUUUAUCACAUAUGUGUGUACCCAGAAAUAAUAACACGGUAACAGUU